rnacentral:rRNA from 1 species
CAUAGCGACUAUCGUGGCAUAUCAAUAAGCGGAGGAAAAGAAACUAACAAGGAUUCCCUUAGUAACGGCGAGUGAAGCGGGAAGAGCUCAAAUUUGAAAUCUUCAAGGUUCUACCUUGACGAAUUGUAGUUUAUAGAAGUGUUUUCUGUUAGUAGAGUGGCAAAAGUUCUUUGGAAUAGGACAUCAUAGAGGGUGAGAAUCCCGUAUUUGACCAUUAUUUCCAACUUUGUGAUACACUUUCAAAGAGUCGGAUUGUUUGGGAAUGCAGUCCAAAGUGGGUGGUAAAUUUCAUCUAAAGCUAAAUAUUGGCGAGAGACCGAUAGCGAACAAGUACCGUGAGGGAAAGAUGAAAAGAACUUUGAAAAGAGAGUUAAACAGUACGUGAAAUUGUCAAAAGGGAAGCGUUUGACACCAGUGUUGUUUUUUCCGAAAAUCAAUUACGAAUGUUUUAUUUUUGAGAAGUUAUGACUUCAUCGGCUUGCUUCUCUCUUUAUGAAACUUUCUUAAUGCACUUUUCGGUUAACAAGUCAACAUCAAUUUCUUUUGUUGUAAAAGGGUAUGAGGAAGGUGGCUCUCUUUUCGGAGAAAGUGUUUAUAGCCUUGUACCUCUGCAAUCGGAGAGAUUGAGGUCUGCAGCGUAGAUCCUUCGGGGUUAGAUACAUUUGUGCUAAGUUAUAGCUUUUCAUAGACAACUUGUUGACUAUGUUAAGUCUUGUAGCUUACUCGCUUAUGCUAUUUUACCUACGCUUAGGAUAUUGAUAGUCACAGCGUGUAC